rnacentral:rRNA from 1 species
UACGAAGGGGGCGAGCGUUGUUCGGAUUUACUGGGCGUAAAGGGCGCGUAGGCGGCCCUCCUAGUCGCGUGUGAAAGCCCCGGGCUCAACCUGGGAAUUGCGCGCGAAACGGGGGGGCUUGAGGCCGGGAGAGGUGAGUGGAAUUCCCAGUGUAGCGGUGAAAUGCGUAGAUAUCAGGAGGAACACCAAUAGCGAAGGCAGCUCGCUGGGACGGUACUGACGCUAAGGCGCGAAAGCGUGGGGAGCGAACAGG